UGUAGCCUGGGUAAAAAACAAAGAGCUCUCCUGGAAAAAAAAAAAAAAAAAUCGGUAACUACUGAGGUUAUUGAAAGGUGCAAUGCUACUGUGUAAUGAACGGCUUCUGGUUAUAGGAGAGUGGCAGCUGCAUUUUAUGGAGAGGUAAGGGAAGGUCCAGCUCAGGAACCUUGUUGAGAAGGUCCAGUGUGGUGCCAGCCAUCUCGGGGCAGCCUGCCUUCACUGGAGGGGCUGUAGAGCUUCGUGUGCCACAGGAUGCUCUGCUGCACCUCCUGCUAGCCUCAACUCUGAGCUUUUUGGGAUGACGAGGAAACACUUGAGUCAAAGAGCCCAGAUUGAACGGCUUCAAAUGCUGCUUUGGGAAAAAAAGAGAUGAAGUCUCUUCUUUUGAAGAAGCUGUUUGAAGAAGAGACAAACCUCUCACCCAAAUGGUGUUUUUUCUUGGCUGGGUCAUAGUGAUUGGGUUGAUUGGUGAGCUUAAUCUAGCGAUGAUGACUUUGAAAUGGUUUCCUUGCAAGGCAGUUUGCUUAGUUAUUAGGAAAGCAAGGUGCUCGGUGUGGAAGUAUCCGUUAUCAUGAGAAAAAUCAAAAGUGGAUUUGAUAGGGUGAAACAAGUUCAUCAGAGAUACCACUCUCCGUAUAUAUAUGUGUGUGUGUGUUUUUAAAAUAAGAUUUACUCUACUAUCUCAACAUUAACUGGGGCAUUUUACAGUGCUCCCCUUCUGUGAGCUUCCGCGAUCCAUCAUUUCCCUGCUAGCAUGCUGUAGUGGCUGUUAGAUUUUACUACACCAAACACUGUAAAAGGGCAUUAGAGCAGUUAAAUCUGGAGUCUUGCUUUCAUAAGGAAAAAGAAAAUGCUGAAUUAGGCAAUGGAAAAGGCAACCACAGCGAUACUUUAAUCUUGCAUAAAUUAUCAGAAGAGUCAGAGGCUAGCAAUUUUAUGUAUUGUUAUAGCUCUGCUAAUUAAUUAUUCCAGAAUAAUUGAUGUUUAGAAAAACCAAAGUUUGGUCCUUUUCUGUCUUAAUGGACUACGGUAUUUACUUUCAAUAUGGCAGCUGUAUUUUUUAUUUUUUUUUUUUCUUUUCUGAUGUGGCAACACUUUAAUUUUACCCCCCCAACCAUGGGGUUAAUGCAGUAGCUUUCCUAAAUACGUACACUCUAAAUGAUAACCAAACAGGGAAAUAUUACUCCACAAAUUGUCUGUGGGUCUAACUCACAGUGUUGGCUUUGGAGCGAGACAUUCCUGACGUUCAGGGAAAGUUCAGUCUCCACCAUGAAUAUUUGAAGGAUGAGGUGCUCUAAAGAAGCCGAAGAAUUAUUUAAGAGGCUAUAAAAUGGUCUACAAAUAGAGAUGAAAUGGUCAACAUGCUGAGAAGAUCUGUGCAACUGGAACGAGGAUCAAACUAAAGACAAAUUCCACUUACGGAAAAUUGAAGUAUAAACCUUUCAGAAGUGGAACAGCGGGACUUGUUGUCAUGUAAAUAAUUUCUUGACAGUUGGAUUGUUUUCUCAAUGUCAUGCUUUGUAAAGGCUGUGAAGACGUUACCACCAACAAGACUGGUGCAGAACUGCCGCUGUGUACUCACUUCACAGUCACGUCUGCAAGGACUGGAAACUACAAAAAUGCAGGGAUGCUGUGCCAAAGCCCUUUUAUUAAUCCUUCCUGAAGAGAAUGAAGGUAGUCGUAAGGUUCUCAGCAUUAGGAGUUGAUUCUGGAGCACUGUUGUAAAAAAAGGAAAUUGCCUUUGCAAAUGAUGAUGGUACCAUGUUCUCAGAUGUGAAGGUAAGGACCAAAGCAGGAGCAAACCCAAUGACUUUAUUUCACUGCUUGAGAGGAUCUUUAAUCUAGCUGCUCGGUCUAAGUUAACCCAGAGCUCCCAGACCACAGCAAAUGAAGAUCUUUUUAUGGACUCAAAUUAAUCUCAUAUUCACAAAACUGAGCAUUCCACUUAGCACGAUUGCCUCACAGUAGCCCUGCUGUGGCUAGGGCUUGCUUUAUUUUGCUUGUGCUGUUGUUCCGUGCCGUUAUUCAUGCAGCACCAAGGCUGUAAAUUACCCUUUACAGUCAGGAGAAUGUGCCAGCCAAUUAAUAUAACUGAUGUCCUGAAGAGCUGUUGAUGGAAGGAGUCUAGGAAAAGAAUGAUGCAGAAGAAAUGCUGGCUAACGAGCAACUAGGUUGGCUUGUGAACAGGUAGGGUUUGCUGUGACGCACUUCUAAAGAUUGUACUUAAUGCAAAUUUUCAAAAUUGCGUUAGGGCUGAAUGCUUUUUCAUGUGCCUUCGCUGCCAGGAGCUGCUCUGUGAUGCACUGGUAAUGCAGACAUAGCCUCCCCAUCUUGCAGGACAGCCUUUAAGUGCAGAGAGAAAUCACCUGCUGCUGACCGCUUGGAGUCUUUCCAUUUACCCUCCUGGGAAAAGCAGGAAAGGGCAAUGGAUUCUGUGUUAUUCCCCAGAACGGUUUGUGCACAGUUUACAUGGGAAAGGGGAAGAAGGGAAACAUAAUUGAGAGCAUGUGAAGUAAAUGCAUCCUGUGUCCUGGAAACUUAUUUUUCUUGUUCCUGGAUCCAUGUGGGGGCACCAAAAAGCUGCCCUGCUUUUUCUGGAUUUUGCAAGACUGCAUGUAACCUGUCUUCUGGUGCCAGAGUAGACUGAGGAUCACUGUAGAGCCUCAGCGAGGACGUGGAAAUACCCCUUAAUAUGUGGUUCUCUGCUCUUCUUUCCCCAGCUGAUGGCUUGUGGCACAUCCAUCCCUGUCUGCUGCUUCCUGAGUGUCCUUCCGCGCUGUUGUCUGUUGUUUGUAAGGAGUUUGGACUUCUGAGAUGCUAUAGAUGCCUCGCUGGGAUGAGGGCUGGUUCUUCCUGAACCCUGGUACAUCAUGAGCUGGUGGGGAUCCCGCUCCUUGCUGCUGCCUGUGGACAUUGCUGAGAUCAGCGACUAAAAACAUGGCUCGGCACGGGGAGAUUGGGCUUUGCAGUUUCUUUCCGGAGCUUGGGAAACAUAUGCUUUACGGGGUUUUAAUUUCUUUUCUUAGCACAUCCAUCCCCUCCCCAGCAAAUUUCAGGGUCGGCGAGGAUGUGUACUGCAGAGGACAGGUGAGGACAGGGCAGAGUGGUAUGUUAACAAACACUUGUUGAGCCGAAGGGGUUAGAAAAGCCAGGACAUACAAUGCCAGUAAAGCGAUCUCUGCUCCCCAGCAAUUCCUCCCCCCCGUACCAGGGGGAUGCCCAUCCCCAGUGACUCUCCCACUGUCACCACUUUCCUUCUGGGGCCAGGCAGGGCGUGGGUGACAUGCCAUUGCCUGGACAUCGCGUGGGGAAAGCAGCUUUGUUGAAAAGUGCCCUAAACCUGAUAUCCUUGUUUAUCUCUUCGCAGUCCCUGCCUGGCCCCUCUAGAUAAACAGGUGCCAGCGCGUGCAAUUCCCAACAGCCGCUUCACUGCCUGAAUAAUGCCGAAAGCGAGUUGUGUCUACGUGGGGACUUAUUCGUGCCUCCCUUUGGGGCUGGAGCAUCCCUGCGGCAAACGGGCCGUGACCCUGGAAACAGACCCAGGACUUGUAGUUGGCUCGGGGAGGCCGGUCCUGGAGGUGUCGUCGGCUGCUGCCACCCUCAAGAGCUUGCGGGAUAUUUAUUUUGGAGCCUUUAGACUUGCGCAGGCAAGCUGUCAGGCCUGUCCGAGCCAGGGGAGGCAGCGUGUCAGCUUUCUAAUAAGGAUAAAACCUCCUUGCUGUGCUGAAAAGAUCUUGUAUGUGGCUCGAAAGGGUGCUCUGACUGACAGCUCCAAGGCUAUUAUAGGACAGUGAAAACUCCUCGCUGUUAGUGCUGCAAACCUCUGCAAAAUGGGUUGUUUCUAGGUGUGUGUAAGACAGCCCAGCUGUUUAUAGACUCAUUGGUAACUUAAGAAAUGCCAUCCUGUGACUUUAUUAUUUUGCUUUAUUUCCUGUCUCCAUGCCCUGCGAGGAUCCCUGCUGCCUCUCCCUGUGCUGGCCGAGCACUCACGUGGCUCAGCUUAGCACGGUGAAGCCGUGGCACCUCUCCUGGGUGCUCUCAGCAUUGCUUAUGUUCCCCGAGAGGAGCCAGCGGUGGGAAAGCAGUGCCCUGCUGCUGAGUUGUUUAGUGUUCUCGACUUGAAGACAUUCCUGAAUGAAACCCUCUUAAUUCCCACCUGAAUGCUGUGGUAGCGACAUAAAGCCCAGUAAUAAAACGUAAUGAAGAAUACCAGCGUGAAAUCAAGAUGUUAAACCUCUGCUGGUGACAGGCAGUAAAUCUGCAGCCUGGUGUUUCCCUUUGCUUUUUAAUAUAUAUUAAAGUGGGCAGCUUGUUUUAUGUCUUGUCUCAUGGGCUCUUAAGCGGAGCAGUGCUCAGUGCUGGGUGAGCGGGACUUUUUCUGUUCCUUUUCUUCCAUGCUGUACCUUGCAACUUUGGUCUCCUGCUUCAAUGAUUUUCCCUCUAGAGACUUCUGGUUUUCAGAAGAGUUGCUCUUUGGCUCCUGUGUGUUUUAAAGGCUUUGGUGCGUGGGAGCUUUCCUUGUUGCUGCAUGCUAGCCAAGUUGCAAAUUUCUUUUCAGAGCAGUGAAUGGCGUUAGAUCUACUUUGUUCUAUGUGACCCAUUGCUUGCUCUCUCUCUCUCUCUCGAGGCCUGUGCUAAGCAGCAAUGGUUGGGAAAUGUGGACAUGCAACUUGAUUUCUUUUUCGGAGUAGUUCAGAUUUAUUACUAUUUUUUUUUUUUUAUUUGUUAAUGUGGUCCCAGAUUUUUCAGGCUUUCUGGUAAUAUGUGGUAGGAAACAUGGGUUCAAAUAGUUUUUCUUUAAUAUGUGCUGUGUCUUCAUGAUUCCCAGACAGUUAUACCUUUAAACUGAAGGGACACUUUUCUCUAUUUUUCCUUUAAUGGUUAUUCAAUAUGGAUCUGUUUUCUGUUGCGUGUCAGUAGCUGUGUGUGCCGAAUGUGUGGCUGAAAGGCUGUUUUCAUACUAAGUCAUGCAGGAGAGGACCUUCCCUUUUCCAUACCACACUGGCCACUUUGUGUGUGCUGACACUUCCUUUGUCCUGUCCUCCCUUCUUGAAGAUAUUAGUGCGCAUCCCGGGCUGCUUGGCUGCCUAAUGCUUUGCUUUUUCUCUUUUAAAUAUUCAUGUGAGCAGAGUGGCUGGGUUACUUAAUGGAGCAGCAUGGUCUUUCGAAUCCAAAGCAGAAGUGGACUUGUUGUCAAUAGCUUUUAAAAACUUUUCACUAAUCCGGCUGAUAGCCUGUCAGAUUGACAUAUUUCCCCUCUUUUAAAGUUUAAAUGAAUUCUGGUGCAGGAAUGGUUGCUACUUACAAACAUGGCCUUGAUGUGCUGCGUUGGGAGAAGGACAGCCUCCGUAAAGGAGAGGAAACUACCAAUCCCCCACCAGACAAGGAGAUUAUCUGCUAUGGAGAGGAUCACUUACAUGCCUGAGGGAUUUUUGAUGUGUUGCUUUACCUGUAAACCCUGGACAAGAAAGUAGUCAAGGUAGCAAGAAAGCAAUUCAGAGGAAGAGAAAGUAGAGUUGAAUGGGUAUUACGAAUAUCUGCAGCGGUGUGGUUUAACAAACCCUUGAUUGAAGAGUGGAAUGAGCUCUGGGCUGUCAUGUGUUGUGUAAACUCCCUGGAGAAAAGUAACUCAUCCUUCUCGGGAGAGGACUUUCCCUUUGCUUUCUCCCAUCUUUUUCUGUCUGUGGAGUCUCCAGAUGAUGGCUGUGCUGACAGGUUGUCAUUCCGGUGAUGUUUCUGUGCAGUGCAAAGAAGAUGCAAUAUUGUUUGGGGCUUUUAAGCACACUGGUGGCGUGAGCAGUCAUGUCCAGCUCUCAUUUCCAUUCAGAUUUACGGUUCUCUGCAUCUCUUUCAGGAAGCUAAGGGUCUUUUGCACCUUGCUGCCUCUUUAAGUGUAAAACCCUUCAUCUUCUCCCACUCUCACUGGAGAAUUGACUAAAGAUUGAAGAAGCUGAAUGCUGUCCUUCCUUCUGCAGCUUCAGGGCUUGCAAGAGUUCCUCUCUCCAACUUGUUUUAUUGGCUUCACUCACCAGUCUCCCAUAUACUGUUGUACAAAUAAAGGAUUUAACUCCUGGAUUUGUCUGGUGAGUGACAAUAGUAACACUGUGAUGUAGAAUAGUAAAAAAGCUGGGCUGGACCCAGGACGCUGUCUAGUCUCUCCCCUGCUCAAGGAACAGCCACCCAUCUACAUUGUUCCUGCCUGGUGGUCAUCUAACCCUAUUUUAAAGAGUUCUAGUGAUGGAAGCUCCACACCCUCCACAUGGGUAACUUACUCCAUUUCUUCUUUGGCUGUCACCGAUGCUUCUCGAGCUGAGCGGAGGUGAAGGAUUACAACCGGCUUUCCUGUUUAUGCAUCCCACUCUGAAAUUUGCCUUUGUGCAACCGCAUGACCUUGUCAGAGGAUGAGCGAAUGCUGAACGACAUAGUGACAGAGGAUUUUCACUUGCUUUGUUGUUUGUUAGCACUUCCUACACAGCUCUUGUGGCAAGGGAAAGCUUUUGGGAAUGGCCUGGUGCUGGUGUCCUGUGGUGGUGGUGCAAGGGCUGAGGAGGCACAAGGUUUUAGAUCCUCAGACAGCUUCCAAAAAGUUGGAGAAAGGAUGGGGAGAGGUGAAGUUAGAGGGAUUAAUAGGGAUUAAUGCUAAUAGGUGUUUGGUGUCUUUAUUCUUCAGUUUACUUGUUUUAACCUGAUUUGAGCCUGGCUUUCAUCCACUGGUUUGCUGGGGGCCAUCUCCUGUGCCUCUGGGCUACAGAAUUGCUGCGGUGCCAGUACCGAUUAGCGUGUGCGUGAACGGUCGUGCCUGGGAUGUCAAAGACUGAAUUGAUUUUUCAGCUCUGGUAAAGGAUUUCUCUUACACGUGCUGGUCAGGUAAUGUGAAGAGGAAACCAGCUCUGGGCUGGAGCGCUCAGACCUGCUUGGGGAAGAUGUAACGGCCUCUCGCUCUGCCGUUUCCCAUCAUGAGAGAUGUCUCUGUGGGUGAGGAAAUACAUCUCUGUGACUUUUCCUUCUUCUAAGCAUGCUGGGCCUGUUCCUCUUGGUGACUAAAUGACCAAAUCUGUUUUAUUCUUUAAAGUCAUCAACUACUGCUUCUCAGAAAGGAUAAAGGUGAGCCACUGCAAGGAGCUAAUGAGCCUAGAAAAAAGAAUACUGAAGGAAGAAUCAUCUCUUCUUGUCAGACAGGACUAUCUCAGGGAGGAUCAGAGUUUGCUCAUGGCUCUGUAACUUUGGGUGAAUCAUGUUAUCCUGAUGUUUUAUUUUUUUUCCCCUCUUUGGAGAGGUAUUAAUAAUACCUCUGCAGUAGAUUGGGGCUCUAUUCAGUAUUCGCAGCUUGCUUUGAGGUGCUCUAGAAUAUCGCUCGGGUUAUUUAAGAGUAAAAUAACAUGCUGAAGGAAUGUCAGAAAUUCUUCAGGGAAUGUUUUUGUUUCUUACAGCUCUGCCAACCAGUCUACUCCCACUGCAUUCAGGUCACUGGUAGGAUGAGGGCUGGAAGUCUGACUCUCCUGCUAUUAAAAUAGCCUGUAGAUUUAGGAGAUCACGCCUGACACAUGGCCUGGAGAGCAUAAUUUGACGUGGCAGCUGAGUGAAAAAUGCUGGAUGCGAUUUUUAUUUUCAGUGCAUGCAGAUGCAACAAACAAACCACAAACAAACCACAAAGGAAAACAAAACACACUCCCCCCCAAACCAACAACAAAACUUUUAUGUUAAAAUCAACUGGGGAUUCAGACAAGAUACUAGAAGAGAGGGGGGAUUUCUUUUCCCAGUUCUGUAAUUUCUGAUGGCCUGAAGAGGUCUUCUCUGCUGUUUGGUAAUACUCUUAAAUUUGAAUACCAAACAUCCCUGUAAGACCCGGGGAGUGUCCUUCAAAUACAUUUAGAGUUGAUUAAAACCAAACAGCUUUCACUGCCGCUGGACGGAGUUUUAUAGACAACCCUGCAGGCUGCAUCAGUGGAGGCUUAACUGUUCCUGGCUGGUGUUGUUACAAGUAAUUUUCAAGCCACUUUCAACCUAAUUUUCAAGGACAGAAGCAGGCAUUUCAAUUACCUGAAUAAUUGGAGGGCGGGGGGAAACAUUUGCGUGGGGAAAGGGGCCUGAUAGAGCAGGCUAGGAGCCAGGAUACUUUGUUAUUAAUAUGCACUUCUGCUGUUGAUUCCCUCUGUGACCUUGGGGUAAAUGCUUUUAACGGUGUACCUUGGUUUUGUUGCCUGUGUGAUGGGAAAAGCAGACCCCAGCACUGUGAGAUCUGUGGGUAAAAAAAAAAAAAAUCACCUAUGAAACAACUGUUCCUGGUAUUCUCUGCUACAGACUUUGCUGUUUGCAUCUCAGCUGGCCAAAGACGGUUUGCUGUAGGCUCCAUACUAGCUCAGAGGGUUUUUGAGGUUUUAUUCCCUGAUGUGAACCUGAUGCCAGGUAUGACUGCUCUUCUGCAAAAGUCAGAGGUUUGGACUUCAAGCCCUGAUCCAGCAUGGCUGGUUGCCCAUCAGCUGUGCUGUGGUCUGGCUUAGUGGGCAGAUCUGGAUGCAGGAGUGUCAAAUUUUGCCUCUGCCCUCUGUUCUCCAGGCUGGGUAAUAGCUGAUGGGUGGGUUGAAGGCUAUGGUGAUGUUCUUGGCAAGUUGAGCAGUUCCUCUUUCUAAGACCAUGUAGUUAUAUGGUGGAGGAAAGGGUUAAACCCAGGACACUGGUCUUUCUGUCCUACCUGGAGGAAGGUGAUGGUGGGUUUGUGGGACUGCCUGGGGAAUGCUGAGGCUGAAAGGAGAUGCUGAGCCAAGCUAAACUGAGACUUGUGCAACCUCAGGUUUAGUCCUUGACCCCGUAGCAUCUAAACGAAGCCAGCUACUGCUGGGGGAGCUGACUUGCCUGUGUCUUCCUUUUCUGAAGGCUGGAAGCACUGAGAGUGCCUCAGGUAGAGUGCUGUGAGGUCCAAAGCCAGUCCACAGGUCCUAAAUAGUUUACUCCCCUCUAAGGCUGGUCUGGGGUCACACUUGUGUUCCUGGAAAGGCACUUUGCAUAGGCUUGUCGAGAGCAAUCAGGGCAUUGCAGGGACUUUUUUCCCCGUCUACCCUGAGCGCUCCUGCCCUGGAGGGUCCACAGUUUUGUUGAUUAUGCAAGUUAUUAACUCACAGAAGAUACAAGGGAAACUAUUUGCAGAAAGCCGUGAGAAACGUUCAACUAACGUGUUUUUUGCCACCACGUUUUGGAGUGGCUGUGAUAUGCUGGCAGCCGGGUACCGCGGCUUAGCUCAUGCACAGUAACUCAUUGGCCAUGGUAUUUCAUUGCCUGUCUCGAUGGCAGGAGUGAAUUGGGAUGAGUAAUCUUUUGUUUUAGACCCCAAAUAAUCAAAUUGCAAUCUGAAAGAGCUAUAACAGCAUAAAGCCUGUGCACCGGUCUUGUUUAAACCUGGAUUGGGUCUAUUGGGGAGGUCCAAAGCCUUAACGUGAGGAUAAACAGAUUAUGACUGUACCUGCGUGAAAUGUAGGUGCACGCCGGCUCUGAAAGCGCCAGCGCUCACAGGAAUUGGGCCUGCGAGCACUCCCUGACCUGCUUCAGUCAAAAUGAGCUGGCUUAGCAAAGACAUGGUAUUUAAACCGUCUCGGUUAACGCGGCUUAUAUUGACUGAUGCCGAUUAAGGGGCACUCACGUGAAGAGGAAGGUAAUUUCUGGUGCGGGAGGGAUGAUGCUGGUGGACAGCCAGGAGCGCACUGACAGCCGUAGCUUCUUGCACGUGGCGAAGUGAGGUCUGAAAAAGAUGCUGAGCCUGGUAAGCCGAAGCCAUUCCUGUCCUCCUGAAGAUGCGAUUGCCCCAUGUGGUUACCACACGAGAGAGCUUGGGGUUGCUUUGCCUGGUGUUGGCCCCUGCUGUAGUGUGUGUUAGCCUGGAAUAAACACAAAACUGUGGACAUGUGUCCAGGCUCUGGCUCUGCUAAAGAGCUUAAUGUUCCCCGCUGGUUUUUAUACUUGGCCGAUCUCAGACAUUAUCAACAGAUGGACAGAGGUGGUGGAGGCAGUACAUUUCUAAAGGUUUCAUGGAAAUCCGCUGGGCAUGGAUAAGUAGCCUGAUGGGACUGAUUAGUACCCUAGAAAAGCAAAGAGCCAUUGCCCUUCUCCCUGGGCUGCCUGGUCCGUCUAGGUGCAG